rnacentral:misc_RNA from 1 species
GCUGCAUCGCUUGUUUUGAUCUCAAUCUUGAGGCGGCGAAGAUGACAGAAGGUUUGGCCCUCAACAGCAGUGAGGAGUUGUUUCUUCAUAAAAAAUUGGAGCUUUAGAUAAGAAAGUCGGAUUUCUGGCCUUUUAUCUAUUAAUUUUCAAAUUCUGGAAAACAAUCUGCUCGAAUUCCUUGGUUUUACUAUCCACAGCAUCAAAGCUUUUGACUUUUUAUUUGUUGGUUCCCUUAU